rnacentral:misc_RNA from 1 species
AGCAUUACGCGUUGGGCGUGUGCGAUAUUGUUGUAUUCGAGCAACUUUUUGGUUAGAAAACAGACAGUCUCUUCUCUUAGAACAAUAAAUAUAAUCACGAUUAUCCUUUGAUCAUUAAUAAUUAAAGAGAUAAUUUUAUCUCUGUUUCUUUUGCAGAAUUCUCUAAAAACUAUGACUAAAGUUCAACAGUCAGCCGAAGUUCAUACCAUCGACCUCAGAGGUAUAGCAGGAGCAAUAUUGGCCCUAGCAGUUGCUGCUAUUUUAGCCGGAGUUCUCGGAUUUGCUACUUCCGGUUGGUUAAUUCAAGAUCGUUCAAAUUCUGAAACUACCCAACAUGGACUUUGGGAAACUUGCAAUUGUGACACGAUUAAAAUUAAAGAUAGGCAAGAUUGGUUUCAAGCUGUUCAAGCCCUUACUACUAUUGGUUUAGGAUUUGGGGCCAUAGCACUUUUGGGAGCAGGAUUUUAUGUUUGUAUUCAUGGCUGCUGUACAAAGGGUGGAAUGCUUAUCACGGUCCUUAUUGGAUCUAUAUGCUCUGCUAUCUUCUCCGUUGUUGGGUUAAUUAUAUUUGCCGUUAAGAAGAACGAACUAAAAAGAGGUGGAUCACACGAGGACAACCCAUCACUAUCUUGGUCAUUUGCUUUUAUUGCUAUUGGAGCUGGAUUUUUCGUAAUUGUUGCUGUCCUAAGCAGCAUUCAAUUUUAUAGAGCUCGACGUUAAAUCAGAAAUCAAAACAAGAAUUAGUAGAAUUUCCUUAGAAAUGCUUUAAUUUCUAUCUGAAAUUUAUUUCCUUUUGUUUUUUUUAUUAUUUUUCUCUUAAUUUUUUUGACAUAAAAAGAAAAGUGAAAAUCUUCAUCUUUUUAAAAUUAAGAAACAAACAAAAUCAAAGUCUAAAAUAAUUAAAUUAACAAAAUCGUACCAAAUGAAAAAAAUAUUAGCCAAUCGUAUAUUUUUUAGGCCAAUGCCAAUAAAACAUGUAAUUAAUAUCUAAUUAAGAACUCCUAAACAGUUUUAUACAUAUUUUUCCUUGUUUUUUUUAUGUUAACAGAAAUUUUUACCACCAAUAACCUAUUUUUGUUUUUAACUUUUGUUUUCUAUUUUUUAAUUUUACCUUUUAUGUCUGUUUUUUUUUUUAUCGCGAAUUAGAUUGUUUUGCAUUUAGGAUAAAUAAUUGAAAAAAAAUCUAACUUUUUAACUCUUUUCUUUUGAACAUGAAAAGAAAGAAAAAGACGAAUGAAGGUUGAAAUCUUUUUCAACUUUCGAUAAUAAUGUUUAUCUUCUUUCUUUUUAAUUUUUGUUCGGAAAGAAAUAAUGGAAAAAAAGUGAACAACUUAAAAAAAUUGUGUCAAAAGUUUGCUGUGAAUUGAAUUAAAACUUCAAAAGGAAAUCCUAUUGAUAAAGAGAGAUUUUUUACGAAUAAUAAUCUAAUAUACUAUAUUAUUAUAGCUAAAUAUCUAUAGUUAAAUGGUUGUAAUAAUCAUUUAUAUUUUAUUUAAAAAUCUCUCUUAUGAUUGGCCUUUUUACUUAUGAAAAAUGAUAUA